AUCGACGUCUUCUGCGGCACAUAGUUGAUGAAGGUGAAGCCCCGCGCCUGAUCGAUCGUGUGGAACAGCGGGUUCCAGUCGAACAUCAUCAGCGCGGUCGCCGGCAGCGUGUUGGCGACGAACAUCUUGCCCGAGGCGAUCAUGUUGGCCCGCUG
rnacentral:ncRNA from 1 species